GGGGACAUGGUGUAAUCAGGCCAUCAUCAUGGACUCCAGAUCCAUGGAUCAGGGUUCAAAUCCCUGUGUCCCCA
rnacentral:tRNA from 2 species